ensembl:lncRNA
ACUCGCGCUCUGGGCGACCACGGCGCCGGGACCAGGGACCUGCCGAGCUGGCCACCGGCCGUGGGGCAAAGGCAGGACCUCCGGCCCUCCGCCUCCGGCGGCGCUGCUUCAAACCCGGCCCCAGUGUGGACUUGCCGCGGGCGGGGAGACGGGCAGCGGAGGCUGGCGGCGACCCCGGAGCCGGUACCUACGCGAGGGCCGGGCUCCCUCCCGCUCCACGCGCGGCGCGGGACAGGGCCGAGCCGGGCCGGGCGGGAAGAUGGUCCGGGUGUGUCUGGACGUAGGUUCCUAUUGUGUUACAUCGAGAGGAGAAAAAGGAGUAGCACCAUCUUUAAAACCACUUAGCCACCACUAAUAGCCAACUUUUAUUUCAACUUCCUAAAAUAAUAGAUACAAAGCAAUUUACAUUAACCCUGGGAGGCUGGAGUGCAGUGGCACGAUCUCAGCUCACUGCAACCUCCGCCUCCCAGGCUCAAGCGAUUCUCCUAUUUGUAAGCAUUUUUUAAGUGAACAGUACCAGGUUUGGGUGUCACCGCCUGGAAAAUAGGUGAACCGGCCUAUUCUACAUGAACUCAUUUCAGAGAGUGACGUGAGUGAGUGGGCCCCUCUCUGCCCUCACUGCAUAUUGGGCAAGAUGCACUGGCAGUACCACCCUGACAUCAGAAGAGGAAACUGAUCAAAACCCACUUGAGUUGUAAGAAUCAGCGAUUUUGUUCAGGGCAAAGAACUCAUGUUUGUAGUUCUCCCAACAGAGUCUGUCUGGCAAAACCCCAGUUAGUUUUGUAAUGAGCACCAGGAGCAGAAAAAGGAGGAUCCAGUUGUUUUACUUUUUUAGAAGCUGUCACAAAUCAGGCAUGAGCCUCUGAGAGAUACAAUUUCUUGGGCCUGAAAAUGAUACAAAAUGGGCAAUUGAGCAAAUAUGAAAACAAAAACCAUAGGCUUUCGAUCCAAAUAUACCUGGAUUCCAAUUUCUUCUCUACUCUCUGAAAUUGAAUCACCUGGAAUUAUAUUAGCAAAGACCCUAAAUCCUCAGUUAACUCAUCUGGCAAAUUAGGAAUGCAAUACAUACCUGAAAGGUUUAUUAAAAAGCUUACCACUAAAGCUUAUAAAAUUACUAUUUUACUGCCUAAAUUAUGUGUUCAUUAUAGUAGCUAUUCUUACUAUUAGAUAUAGGGAAUUCUGCCUUUGAUCAUGUGCAUGCUGCCGUGCUUUUUUGUUGUUGUUGUUAAAAGUAACUAUAAAUGAAAGGUACAUUUGUAAAAUAAGGGUGUUUUUUUGUUUUUUUGUUUUUUUUUUUUUUAGGGCUAGACAUAGUUUUCAAGAGUCUUUGAUUACCUUUAAGCACACAAGUGUUUUACAAAUCAUUAACUACUUUAGCUUAGUAGAAGUGGGAGUAUAGAUAGUGAUUCAGAAACCCUGAAGUUAAACAGUGAAGAAGUGUUAACAACUGAACAUAAAUCAGAAGAUAAACCUUCCUUAAAACCAUAACAGAUGGAAAACAUUUUAAAUUCUGAAAGUUUGAUUUAUGUACAUCUUUUUACUUAAGAUCUACUGCUUAAGUAUAAGCCUUAUUAUUAUUGUUGGUUUGACAGUUUUUUCUGAAAAGUGCAUCAAGUAAACAAUCAUG